rnacentral:rRNA from 1 species
CCUACGGGUGGCAGCAGUGAGGAAUAUUGGUCAAUGGCCGGAAGACUGAACCAGCCAAGCCGCGUGAGGGACGAAUGUACUGUGGGUUGUAAACCUCUUUUGUAAGGGAAGAAUAGCUGCUACGUGUAGCCUGAUGCCUGUACCUUAUGAAAAAGCAUCGGCUAACUCCGUGCCAGCAGCCGCGGUAAUACGGAGGAUGCGAGCGUUAUCCGGAUUUAUUGGGUUUAAAGGGUGCGUAGGCGGUUUUUUAAGUCAGUGGUAAAAGGCCGGGGCUCAACCUUGGUUUGCCGUUGAUACUGUCAGACUCGAGUUCAGACGAGGUAGGCGGAAUGAGCGGAGUAGCGGUGAAAUGCUUAGAUAUCACGCAGAACUCCGAUAGCGAAGGCAGCAUACCGGACUGCGACUGACGCUGAGGCACGAGAGCGUGGGUAGCGAACAGGAUUAGAUACCCGUGUAGUC